GCGCCGUCACAGGGGUGGCCAUGACGUGCAAACGUCAUUAGCCUGAGAUCCGUACCGGCAUUCGGCUGGAUUACGGGAACCCUUAGAACCUGAACCGGGUAAUACCGGCGUAGGAAGAGGAUUCCAUAAUGUA
rnacentral:ncRNA from 1 species